rnacentral:rRNA from 1 species
AUGGCAUCUCCCUCCUCCUCCUCCUCCUCCGCCUCCUGCUCCUACUCCUACUACUCGUGCCCCGCACCCCACCACCCGCGCUUCCGGCGAUCCCUCCGGCGGCCGCCUCUCCCGCGGGCGCGUGCCUUCUCGACGCCGUCCUCCCGCCGACCCUCCGCUGUGCAGGAGUCCCAGCUCGGAAGCAUCCCGUCGAGACCCACACGCAGGCGUGGUUCCAUUCAAAUCGCCACAUCAUUUGAUGAUGAUCUGGGGGAUUUCUCGCUAGCGCAUCAUGACGACGAGGAUGAUGCAUUUGGUGUUGUUUUGUAUUCAAGUGAGAGUGAUUGGAGUGACGAUGAGGUUGUGUUAACUCAAAUUGGGGACGUUGAGUUGCCAACGAUGAUGACCGAGAGGCGCUUCAAGGCGGCAGAGGGUGCGAUAACUGUUGCUGCCCAUAGGCUCGCCACCAUUGGGAAAGGGCAAAGGAAGAGCAGAACUCAACAAGGGCUGAUGAAUAAUGUUGGGCUGAUUGCUUUCCUAGCAGUGCUACUUUUGUUUGUCGACUGGUGUUCGUGGUGGAUUAUUAGGCUACCUCUGGACUCCUUUUAUUUGACACGCCCUUUUUUAAUAUCAGCAGUUCUAUCCGCAUUAGCUGGAUUUAUUUUUGCACCCAUUGCUGAUAGAAUGAAGAUUCAUCAUUUCCGGAGGAGAGGGAAGCCUGUAUCUCCAUCCUAUGGAAAACCAACCCCAGCAAUGGGAGGAUUGUUCUUCAUUCCGAUUGGUAUUUUGGUUGCAAGAAGACAUGCCGGUUCAAACUCAAGUGGAGUGAAUGGAGCAGCUAUAAUAACCCUCAUAUUUGCAGUAGUUGGGUUACUUGACGAUAUUUCAAACCUUGUCGUGGAUCGCAAUCGUAAAAUACCUCAGUGGAUAAGAUUUUUGGUUCAGACUGCUGCUGGGAUCUACUUCUUUAUCUGGUUGGGUUCUGCAAAUAUUUCAACACCAUACAACAUGAAAUUCAUUGUUCCUCUGCCUCCGCCAUUUGGCCUAGCAUUCAUGGGGAAACUUUAUCUGGUUAUGGCUACAGUAUGUUCUCUUUCCAUGGGUACUGGAGUAACAUUGGUUGAUGGUCUUGAUGGUUUGGCUGGUGGUGUUGCUGCUUUGGCACUCGUUGGAUUGUCUGUUGCCGCUCUUCCGAUUUGCUCGGAGCUGAGUGUUUUUGGAGCAUCCAUGUCAGGUGCUUGCACUGGCUUUCUUUUACAUAACAGGUAUAGGGCCUCAAUAGUUAUGGGUCGAGUUGGCUCUUUUGCACUUGGAGGAGCACUUGCUACAAUUGCAGCAUGCAGUGGAAUGUUCAUUCCUAUGUUAAUUGCAUGCAGCGUCUUCUUUCUCGAGCUGCUUGUGGUAAUAUUGCAGGUUCCUUUAAGCAUGACUCUUAAGCACAUCCAUGGGACAAACAGAUCUUUCCAGCGAAUUCUUCCCUCACAUUACUAUCUUAGACUGUGGGGCAUAAAGGAGCCUUAUAUCGUGGCGGGUGCAUACAUCAUGACAUGCUUCUUAACUGUGUUGGCAGGAUACCUUGGUCUUGUCUCAGCGUAA